UCGAACGAAGCCCCCGCGGCGGACCCCUCCGGGGGAAAGACGCACGGGACUGAGUGGCGGACGGGUGAGCAACGCGUGGGCAACCUGCCCCGUACCGGGGGACAACAGCCGGAAACGGCUGCUAAUACCGCAUAUUCCCGCGGGGCCGCAUGGCCCUGCGGGAAAAUCUCCGGCGGUACAGGAUGGGCCCGCGUCUGAUUAGCUUGUUGGCGGGGUAACGGCCCACCAAGGCUGCGAUCAGUAGCCGGCCUGAGAGGGCGGACGGCCACAUUGGGACUGAGACACGGCCCAGACUCCUGCGGGAGGCAGCAGUGGGGAAUAUUGCACAAUGGGGGGAACCCUGAUGCAGCAACGCCGCGUGAAUGAAGAAAUAUUUCGGUAUGUAAAGCUCUAUCAGCAGGGAAGAAAAUGACAGUACCUGACUAAAAAGCUCCGGCUAACUACGUGCCACCACCCGCGGUAAUACGUAGGGGGCAAGCGUUAUCCGGAUUUACUGGGCGUAAAGGGAGCGCAGGCGGCGCGGCAAGUCCGGUGUGAAAGCCCGUGGCCCAACCCCGGGACUGCUCUGGAAACUGCCGGGCUGGAGUGUCGGAGGGGCAGGCGGAAUUCCUAGUGUAGCGGUGAAAUGCGUAGA
rnacentral:rRNA from 1 species